rnacentral:rRNA from 1 species
CUACGGGCGGCUGCAGUGGGGAAUAUUGGGCAAUGGGCGAAAGCCUGACCCAGCAACGCCGCGUGAUUGAAGAAGGUCUUCGGAUUGUAAAAAUCUGUCCUUGGGGACGAAAAAAAUGACGGUACCCAAGGAGGAAGCCCCGGCUAACUACGUGCCAGCAGCCGCGGUAAUACGUAGGGGGCGAGCGUUGUCCGGAAUUGCUGGGCGUAAAGGGUGCGCAGGCGGCGCUUUAAGUCAGAUGUGAAAUACCCAGGCUUAACCUGGGGGGUGCAUUUGAAACUGGAGUGCUUGAGUGCAGGAGAGGAAAGUGGAAUUCCUAGUGUAGCGGUGAAAUGCGUAGAUAUUAGGAGGAACACCAGUGGCGAAGGCGACUUUCUGGACUGUAACUGACGCUGAGGCACGAAAGCGUGGGGAGCAAACAGGAUUAGAUACCCGAGUAGUC